rnacentral:rRNA from 1 species
GUAAUCCUCGGGACGCAGCAGUGAGGAAUAUUGGUCAAUGGGCUUACGCCUGAACCAGCCAAGUCGCGUGAGGGAAGACUGCCCUAUGGGUUGUAAACCUCUUUUGUCAGGGAGCAACGCCGGCUACGUGUAGCCGGACUGAGAGUACCUGAAGAAAAAGCAUCGGCUAACUCCGUGCCAGCAGCCGCGGUAAUACGGAGGAUGCGAGCGUUAUCCGGAUUUAUUGGGUUUAAAGGGUGCGUAGGCGGAAUGCCAAGUCAGCGGUAAAAUCGCGGGGCUCAACCUCGCUCCGCCGUUAAAACUGG